rnacentral:lncRNA from 1 species
UCAUACUUCCGCAGCAACGCGCGGGGUAUCAUCUAGUUACAUAUAUAUACGACACCCGGAUCACUAUAGAAAGUAUAUAUUAUGGUGAUUACAGGACAUCGUACCACAGAUAGAUUUUGCUCUCGAUGUGCGGCUCCUCAGACUUGUCAAGAAAUAAUAUGAAGGCCUUCCCAGCUUGCAUCCCUAACUCCGUGGCAAUUUGAACCCAAUUUGGACCAUGGAAAUAUGUUCCCCCACCCUCGUUGGUGAUAGUAAGGGUCACGGGUAUGCCAUUUUUUAGCAACUUCAUGUCAAGCUGAACGGUGUCGUCCUCAUCAAUGGGCAAGUGGACCACACACAUGAACUCGACCCUUCCCCAACAAGGGAUGCGCUGAGCAUGAUAAAAAGAAAAAAAAGAUAUUAGAUAAUUGUGGGCACAACAUUAUGAAAUGACAAGUCAUAGCACAAAAUGAAUGCUUCACAAAGUCGUUGUGAAGAUCUACACAAAUUUCUUUGCAAGUGACCUUAACCUUGUAACAUGCACCUAGCCUUUUGUC